rnacentral:rRNA from 1 species
CUACGGAGGGUGCAAGCGUUAAUCGGAAUUACUGGGCGUAAAGCGUACGUAGGCGGUCCGUUAAGUUAGAUGUGAAAGCCCCGGGCUUAACCUGGGAACUGCAUUUAAAACUGGCGGACUAGAGUUGAGUAGAGGGGAGUGGAAUUUCAGGUGUAGCGGUGAAAUGCGUAGAGAUCUGAAGGAACACCAGUGGCGAAGGCGACUCCCUGGACUCGAACUGACGCUGAGGUACGAAAGCGUGGGUAGCAAACGGGAUUAGAAACCCCAGUAGUCC